CCCUUAGAUGUUCUGGGCCGCACGCGCGCUACACUGAUGAAUUCAACAAGCCUAGCCUUGUCCGAAAGGUCCGGGUAAUCUCUGAAACUUCAUCGUGAUGGGGAUAGAUUAUUGCAAUUAUUAAUCUUCAACGAGGAAUGCCUAGUAAGCGUAAGUCAUCAGCUUGCGUUGAUUACGUCCCUGCCCUUUGUACACACCGCCCGUCGCUCCUACCGAUUGAAUGGUCCGGUGAAGCGUUUGGACUAUGGUUUUCUGACGGUUCGCCAUUGGAUUACCGUGGGAAAUUCGUUAAACCUUAUCAUUUAGAGGAAGGAGAAGUCGUAACA
rnacentral:rRNA from 1 species